UACAGGGGGGGGCAAGCGUUGUUCGGAAUUACUGGGCGUAAAGGGCUCGUAGGCGGCCAACUAAGUCCGACGUGAAAUCCCAAAGCUUAACUUUGGAACUGCGUCGGAUACUGGAUGGCUUGAAUUCGGGAGAGGGAUGCAGAAUUCCAGGUGUAGCGGUGAAAUGCGUAGAUAUCUGGAGGAAUACCGGUGGCGAAGGCGGCAUCCUGGACCGACAUUGACGCUGAGGAGCGAAAGCUAGGGGAGCAAACGGGG
rnacentral:rRNA from 1 species